CCUGUUUGCUAGUGUAGAUAAAGUAGUAGUCAAUCAGAAAAGAAAAACAAAUUUCGGGAAAAAAGUGUUGUCCUCCAAAAAAGAAAAAAAAUCCACUUAAUUAUAAACAUAAAAUUUAAUUAUUCUCUUAAUAAGUGCCAGAAAAAGUUAAUAAAUUUAAUAAAUAAAUCCGUCAAAAGAAAAAUACAGAAAUUGAUAACAACAAAUUGUCAUUUCUAAGAGAGAAUGAUGAUUGUUGGUGUAAAAGUGUGGUAAUCGCUGUGAGCAAACAAAACCAAACAUAAAAGUGUGGAAAAAUUAACAAAAAAGAAAAUUAAAACACAAUAUUACACCAGAAGAAGAAAUGAUUUUUUUUAUAGAAAAUGUAAAAAUAAAUAAAUUGUUAAAAAAGUAACAUUGAAAAAUUGUGUGUAAACUAUUUUUCGAACAGCUUUUUGUUGUUGCAGCAGUUUUCGUUUUUUUUUUGUUUGGGGUGACCCCCUUAAAAAUUUUAAAUUAAAAUUUUAACUUUUUUUAAAAAAUUAUAAACAAAUUUUAUAGUUUUAUAAACAAAAUAUUUGUUUUAAUUUUUUUUGCGUUCUAUUUAAAUAUAAUUUGUCAGUAUUAAUAGAGAAAGUUUAACUUUUCACACAUAGAAUGCUACCGAGUUUUCAUAACUUAAUGAGGUGCUCUUCGAGCGUUUUACAACAGUCUACAUCUAGUAGUGGACCACCACAACCCUCAAUCAUGAUGAUCUCAAUACGGCCACCUGUUCGGGACGCGGUGAUUGUCUAAAUGGCACUUGCCUCUGUGAAAUACGUUAUGCCGGCGAUGAGUGUAGUGGUUUUAACUUACCCUACUAUGCGGGCAUUUCAAGUGUUUUCUAUUUUGUUGCCCUGGUAUCGGUUAUACAAUUGUUUAUCUGUAUAGUGGCCGAAUAUCAAAGACUCAAACAGCCGUCUGUGUUAAGGGCCUGUCGUAUUACCACACAGAAAAUGUUAUAUUUUAUGGUAUUGUGGCGGCCUCUUUGAGGGGAGCCUAUUUUACCACACCGUUGGAUUUACAACCACAAUGGGCUGUUACCUUGAUGUCCGCCUAUUAUCCUUUAUUAAUGACCUGCGCUUCAUUGAUUGUUUGCAUGUGGGCUGAGGUAAGUUCCA